GAUGAACGCUGGCGGCGUGCCUAAUACAUGCAAGUCGAGCGAACAGAUGAGGAGCUUGCUCCUCUGACGUUAGCGGCGGACGGGUGAGUAACACGUGGAUAACCUACCUAUAAGACUGGGAUAACUUCGGGAAACCGGAGCUAAUACCGGAUAAUAUAUUGAACCGCAUGGUUCAAUAGUGAAAGACGGUCUUGCUGUCACUUAUAGAUGGAUCCGCGCUGCAUUAGCUAGUUGGUAAGGUAACGGCUUACCAAGGCAACGAUGCGUAGCCGACCUGAGAGGGUGAUCGGCCACACUGGAACUGAGACACGGUCCAGACUCCUACGGGAGGCAGCAGUAGGGAAUCUUCCGCAAUGGGCGAAAGCCUGACGGAGCAACGCCGCGUGAGUGAUGAAGGUCUUCGGAUCGUAAAACUCUGUUAUUAGGGAAGAACAAAUGUGUAAGUAACUGUGCACGUCUUGACGGUACCUAAUCAGAAAGCCACGGCUAACUACGUG
rnacentral:rRNA from 1 species